GGCAGCUCACUGCAGCUGAAGUAAUAUAAGUCAUAAGACCCCCAUUUCAAGAGGGUCCUGCUGCAUACCCAGAAGGAAGGAAUACUGCACAGAGAAGCUAAGAGGAAUUUAAACAGACAGACCUUGCUGGACUUUCCUACUCAGUCUAUUAACAUUAGAUCAUACCCUUUCUGCCCAGUUAUUUUUCUCCAUGGCUGUCCGUACUUCAUUGAACCCAAGCCUAAAAAUGGGCAGUUUCCC
rnacentral:lncRNA from 1 species